GGAUUACGCUGGCGGCGUGCAUAACACAUGCAAGUCGAACGAUGAAGCUUUUUUGAUUUCUUCGGAAUGAUUAAAAGUGGAUUAGUGGCGGACGGGUGAGUAACGCGUGAGUAACCUGCCUUAGAGAAGGGGAUAGCCUUUGGAAACGAAGAAUAAUACCCUAUGAAACCAUAACCUCGCAUGAGGCCUUGGUCAAAGAUUUAUCGCUCUAAGAUGGACUUGCGUCUGAUUAGUUAGUUGGUGGGGUAACGGCCUACCAAGACAGCGAUCAGUAGCCGGCUUGAGAGAGUGUACGGCCACAUUGGGACUGAGACACGGCCCAGACUCCUACGGGAGGCAGCAGUGGGGAAUUUUGCACAAUGGGGGAAACCCUGAUGCAGCGACGCCGCGUGAUUUAGAAGGCCUUCGGGUUGUAAAAAUCUUUUCUAUGGGAAGAAAAUGACAGUACCAUAGGAAUAAGGACCGGCUAAUUACGUGCCAGCAGCCGCGGUAAUACGUAAGGUCCGAGCGUUGUCCGGAAUCAUUGGGCGUAAAGGGUACGUAGGCGGGUAAGCAAGUUAGAAGUGAAAUCCUAUAGCUCAACUAUAGUAAGCUUUUAAAACUGCUCAUCUUGAGGUAUGGAAGGGAAAGUGGAAUUCCUAGUGUAGCGGUGAAAUGCGCAGAUAUUAGGAGGAAUACCGGUGGCGAAGGCGACUUUCUGGCCAUAACCUGACGCUGAGGUACGAAAGCGUGGGUAGCAAACAGGAUUAGAUACCCUGGUAGUCCACGCCGUAAACGAUGAGUGUUAGGUGUCUGGAGUAAAUCUGGGUGCCGCAGCUAACGCAUUAAACACUCCGCCUGGGGAGUACGCGCGCAAGCGUG
rnacentral:rRNA from 1 species